rnacentral:rRNA from 11 species
CGAAGAUCCAACGGGGCUCAAGUCUGAUACCGAAGCUUCGGAUCGUCAGGCACCUCCGGGUGCCAGGCGGUGGUAGGGGAGCGUUCCGUCAGCAGUGAAGGUCGACCGUGAGGACGGCUGGAGUGGACGGAAGUGCGAAUGCCGGCAUGAGUAGCGAAAUGCGCGUGAGAAACGCGCACGCCGUAUGUCUAAGGUUUCCUGAGGAAGGUUAAUCCGCUCAGGGUUAGUCGGGC